AGAGUUUGAUCCUGGCUCAGGAUGAACGCUAGCGACAGGCCUAACACAUGCAAGUCGAGGGGCAGCAUUUCUAGCUUGCUAGAAGAUGGCGACCGGCGCACGGGUGAGUAACGCGUAUGCAACCUACCUUAUACUGGGGGAUAGCCCAAAGAAAUUUGGAUUAAUACCGCAUAACAUAUUUGAAUCGCAUGGUUUGAAUAUUAAAACUCCGGUGGUAUAAGAUGGGCAUGCGUAGCAUUAGUUAGUUGGUGAGGUAACGGCUCACCAAGACUAUGAUGCUUAGGGGGUCUGAGAGGAUAGUCCCCCACACUGGUACUGAGACACGGACCAGACUCCUACGGGAGGCAGCAGUGAGGAAUAUUGGUCAAUGGACGAAAGUCUGAACCAGCCAUGUCGCGUGCAGGAUGACGGCCCUAUGGGUUGUAAACUGCUUUUUUAUAGGAAUAAUUGUCGAUACGUGUAUCGAUUUGAAUGUACUGUAUGAAUAAGGAUCGGCUAACUCCGUGCCAGCAGCCGCGGUAAUACGGAGGAUUCGAGCGUUAUCCGGAUUUAUUGGGUUUAAAGGGUCCGUAGGCGGUUCUUUAAGUCAGUGGUGAAAUCCCAGAGCUCAACUCUGGAACUGCCAUUGAAACUGAAGAACUUGAAUAUGGUUGAGGUAGGCGGAAUACGUUAUGUAGCGGUGAAAUGCAUAGAUAUAACGUAGAACACCAAUUGCGAAGGCAGCUUACUAAACCAUUAUUGACGCUGAUGGACGAAAGCGUGGGGAGCGAACAGGAUUAGAUACCCUGGUAGUCCACGCCGUAAACGAUGAUUACUCGUUGUGCACAAUACAUCGUGCGUGACUGAGCGAAAGCAUUAAGUAAUCCACCUGGGGAGUACGUUCGCAAGAAUGAAACUCAAAGGAAUUGACGGGGGCCCGCACAAGCGGAGGAACAUGUGGUUUAAUUCGAUGAUACGCGAGGAACCUUACCUGGACUUAAAUGUAGAUUGACCGGUUUAGAAAUAGAUCUUUCCUUCGGGACAAUUUACAAGGUGCUGCAUGGUUGUCGUCAGCUCGUGCCGUGAGGUGUCGGGUUAAGUCCCAUAACGAGCGCAACCCCUAUCGUUAGUUGCUAGCAGGUAAUGCUGAGGACUCUAGCGAGACUGCCACCGUAAGGUGAGAGGAAGGUGGGGAUGACGUCAAAUCAGCACGGCCCUUACGUCCAGGGCUACACACGUGUUACAAUGGCCAGUACAAAGGGCAGCUACCUGGUGACAGGAUGCUAAUCUCAAAAGCUGGUCUCAGUUCGGAUCGGAGUCUGCAACUCGACUCCGUGAAGUUGGAUUCGCUAGUAAUCGUAUAUCAGCAAUGAUACGGUGAAUACGUUCCCGGGCCUUGUACACACCGCC
rnacentral:rRNA from 1 species